AAAUAAAUAUUCUGCAUCAAUUUUAGGUGUGCUACUGUGGGUGGCUCCGGGACACCCGUGGCUACGCCCCUGCCGUGACCCAAAUCUCGUUCGCACAUCAUCGCGAUAUGUAUCAUCUGUUUACAAACGUCGCCACUCGCUUCGUAAGAUGGAAUUACUGGACUUCUCUCCAAUGCUCUAUUACAACGCAGAGAGGCCAGCAUCGCUCCACAAAAGUUUUUGUUAAAAACGUCAACGUUCAGAGGCAUCACUCAGUACCAGUCAUGCAGAAACUUUAUGAGGCUGUUGUAAGAGAUUAGCCAAUCCCCUGUAUGUCACUGAUGCACUACUUCAAAGAUGUGAGGACAAGAACAUACACCUGCGAGUAGUCUUAGACAUUGCCUGUGUUGUUGCCUUACAUUUGCAGAAAUCAGGGGAGGGCAUACCACACAACAUCUCCUUAGACUUACCAGCAUUUCAUGUUUAUGGGCACAAAUUGCCCUGCCAGAUCAAGUACAGUACCAGAUGUAUUGAUGGGUUUGGGCUCACAGACGGGGAAGGAAUGGAAAGGCUGUGGUCUUUCCUCCAAAGAUUUGCCAGAGUCACAAAGGAGAUGACUCCAUCUCAUCGCCUUGACCUACUGACUGAUGCCCUUUUGCAUUAUGGACGGAGGAAAUCAACUGACCUAGAGGUGCAGCUCCUGCAAAGAGUAGACAAAGCAGAGAAAAUAUUGAUUCUCGCUCCUCAAGAAGAUAUUUCAUCUGUCAUCAGAUAGGUACCAGGUAAACAAUGCACAUAAGAAGCAGGUAACAAUUAGUUGUAGAUGGGAGAAUAUUACAUUCCAUUUAUAAGUGCAAUUUGCACAAGAGUAUUUAGGAUUGAUGUGUGUCUUGUUUUCUGUUAUUGUUGUUGUAUAGUGUUGAUUUCUGAAGGAGACAUGGAGAGAUGGAAAAAAGCUAGCCCAACUGAAACCAAUAAGUAAGGAACUGAAGUUAAAGUCUUAAAUACUCAUGGUAGUAAUGUCGUCUUUUCUUCAGAGACUCUGUCUAUAGAUGGAAAAGGGACUACAUCAUCAGACUGAUUCAGUUCUACAAGUUCAAAUAUUAGAAUUGAGGACUCUGCUGAACAUUGAGAAAAAAUACCGUAUUGGGAGAAGAUGGCAAGAGUCUGAUUCAAACUUCCAGUCUACCCUUAAAGAUGUGGACCGUGAGCUCAGAGUCCAACUUCAAGGCUAGAACUGAAUUAAGGGAGAGAGAGCAGUCCUCCUCCACCUGAGAAGAAUAUAUCCAGCUUUGCUUCAGAUGGGCAGGACAUUGCCAUUAGACUCUCCAAGCAGGUAGCGACAAUUGAUUUUCAGGAAUCAUGUGAUCCAUCUUGGCAUGUCUACUUCUGCUUUGAUGACACUAUUGAAGAAGAUGAUGUUUCGCGGAGUCUAAAAAAGCGAGGGAUUGAUGCCUUACAUAUGAAGACUCAUGCAAAAGCUGCUCUCAUUCAACGCAUCCAACAGCUGGAAAGAAAACUACAUCAAGCCAUUAUGAUGUUUCACCCACAUGUAUCAGACUUUGUUCCUGCAGACAACCCCCACAUGUGUCAGGCCCUCCCCAUGCCAAGCAUACAGACCCUGGUAUACAAUGAUAAGAGUGAUAAUGAUGACAAUGUGGAUAAAUAUGAUAACUAGCACUACAGAUUUUUUUUAAAUUUCUAGUCUGAUAUUGUAUUCUGUAAAAAGAAUGAUGUAAAAUGUAUAGAAUAUGUUGGAGCAUAUCAUAGAAACCUUUAUGGUGGUUUAAUAUAAUGUUCGCCUUACUUGUGCAAACAUGAUGUUUUACUAGAUCUGAUUUAUUUUAAAACGUAGGUACUGUUUUUAAGCACACAUAUUCACACUAGUCUGUGUGAGGACAAAAUUGUGUGUUUACCAUUGUGAUGUUACUUAUUUACUGUAAUGUACAAAUGUGGUCAAUGUGUGUAAGGUGUUUUGUUUUUGUGAGCUAAGUUAAAAUG